UUUCAAAACAAAGCCAAGAGAGACUCUUACGGGUGGAUACGACCUAACUAAGCUUCCACCCUCCCAAAAUUAAAUCACAACCGUCCAUUCCAAAACAUCCCACAAUCACCACCGUCCAAACAGCAUACUCUCCUACUCCUCACACUUCCUUCCCUUCUUUAUUCCUCCGUAACUCUUCACCCGCAAUUUCUCUCUCUCAAACCCCAAAAUCGACCACAAACUGUCUCUUCUUCAUCUUCUCCAAAUCCCUAAAAAACCAGAAAACCCUACCAAGAAGAAGAUUAAAUCUAAAGUUUUUUUGUUAGAUUUUGAGGAAUAAAAGAGAGGAAAGAAGAAGAAGAAGAAGGAGAGGUACAAAGGGGGAAUGGAUUCAGAUCAGGGAAAGUUGUUCAUUGGAGGGAUAUCAUGGGAAACAAACGAAGAUAAGCUAAGGGAAUACUUUGGCCAUUACGGCGAGGUUUUACAGACUGUUGUUAUGAGAGAUAAGAUUACGGGAAGACCUCGGGGGUUUGGAUUCGUUGUCUUUUCAGAUCCUUCUGUUCUUGACACUGUUCUUCAAGAAAAACACACCAUCGAUGGUAGACAGGUUGAGGCAAAGAGGGCGUUAUCAAGAGAGGAGCAGCAAACUUCUGCUAGAUCUGGAAAUCUUAAUCAGGGUAGAAACUCUGGAGGCGUUGGAAAUAUCAGGACCAAGAAGAUUUUUGUUGGAGGGUUGCCUCCUACCUUAACUGAAGAGGGAUUUCGCCAAUACUUUGAGGCUUAUGGUCAUGUAACUGAUGUGGUAAUCAUGUAUGAUCAGAAUACCCAGCGGCCUCGCGGGUUUGGUUUUAUCUCCUUUGACACUGAAGAUGCUGUUGAUAGGGUUUUGCACAAGACUUUUCAUGAUUUAAAUGGCAAGCAAGUUGAAGUGAAGCGGGCCCUUCCCAAAGAUGCCAAUCCUGGUGGGGUUAGCCGAAAUAUGAGUGGUGGUGGUGGUGGAGGUUAUCAGGGCUAUGGUUCUUCUGGUGGGAAUGUCAGUUCUUAUGAUGGUCGUAUGGACUCCAAUAGGUACAUGCAGGCCCAGAGUACUGGAGCUGGCUUUCCACCUUAUGGCUCAUCAGGAUAUACACCUGGUUACGGUUAUGGUCCUGCUAAUAAUGGUGUUGGUUAUGGUAGUUAUGGCAAUUAUGGUGGUGCAGGUGCUGGUUAUGGUGCCCCUGCAGGUGCAGGUUAUGGGAACCCGAAUGCUGGUUAUGCAACUGGGCCUCCUGCUACCCCUAGAAGUUCAUGGGGUACUCAAACUCCAUCUGGUUAUGGUGCUAUGGGUUAUGGGAAUGCUGCUCCUUGGGGUGCCCCAAGUGCUGGUGCUGGUAGCGGUGGCCCAGGUUCAGCAGCUACCGGCCAAUCUCCCACUGGAGCUGCUGGGUACGGGAGUCAAGGUUAUGGAUAUGGUGGAUAUGGUGGAAAUGAUGGAUCUUAUGGGAAUGCUGGGUAUGGGACUGUUGGAGUUCGUUCUGGUGGUACUCCAAAUAGUAAUGCUGGUGCUGGUGGGGGAGAUCUACAAGGGAGCGGCGGUGGUUACAUGGGAAGUGGAUAUGGUGAUGCAAAUGGAAGUUCAGGGUAUGGAAAUGCAUCUUGGAGGUCCGAUUCAUCACAAGGUUCUGGAAAUUAUGGGGGCACUCAGGCAAAUGUUCCUCAUGGUGGACAAGGUGGUUACAGUGGUGGGUACGGUGGUGCUCAGGGUCGACAAGCGCAACAACAGUGAUUCAAUCACUUGAAAGACAACUUGAUCUCAGCCUCUUCAGUGCCUAACCUUCUCUUUGCUGUUGUGGUUGUGAUGGUUUCUUAUUUCCAGCAGCAAGAGGAGAGGCUCAAGUUGGAUGUCAAAUCACCUUGGGACCGGAGAGAUGCUUGAGAGUUCAAAGGUGGAAUCAAGUAUCCACUCAUGGCUGAACCUGAGCUUCGUGGUGGGGGGUUGUUCAGUUUGGGGUUUGUUCAGCGCAGGACUUGCUCAGUUGAAAUUUUGAAUUAACAUGAGAUGACAUAGGCCCUUCCUCAUCCAGGUGCUGCAAACACUGCAAAUUCUUGGCUUUUGAAGUAAACAAGUUUCCUGAUCUUCAUUCGGGUUUCUGUGGUGGUUUUUCAAGAUGGAAUUGAAUUUGUGAAGUAAAACAUUCUUGGGGUAUGUUGACCCAAAGCUGUUAGCUGUCUAGCAGAUCAAGAUUAAUUAUUCCCUAAUUAUUGAGUGUGCCUUUUGAUUCUUCAGAGUAGAUCUUACAAUAUGAUUUCUGGUUAUUAGAGCACUAGAAAAGUAUGACCUUAAAGUUCCCGUUAGUUUUGGUAUGAAUUAUUUGAGUUUUGCCAAACAUUUAAUUCUGGGGCCUUUCGACCCGUUUAAAGGCAGUAGGUAAAUUAUUCCGAAUGGU